GAUGAACGCUGGCGGCGUGCCUAAUACAUGCAAGUCGAGCGAAUGGAUUAAGAGCUUGCUCUUAUGAAGUUGGCGGCGGACGGGUGAGUAACACGUGGGUAACCUGCCCAUAAGACUGGGAUAACUCCGGGAAACCGGGGCUAAUACCGGAUAACAUUUUGAACCGCAUGGUUCGAAAUUGAAAGGCGGCUUCGGCUGUCACUUAUGGAUGGACCCGCGUCGCAUUAGCUAGUUGGUGAGGUAACGGCUCACCAAGGCAACGAUGCGUAGCCGACCCGAGAGGGUGAUCGGCCACACUGGGACGGAGACACGGCCCAGACUCCUACGGGAGGCAGCAGUAGGGAAUCUUCCGCAAUGGACGAAAGUCUGACGGAGCAACGCCGUGUGAGUGAUGAAGGCUUUCGGGUCGUAAAACUCUGUUGUUAGGGAAGAACAAGUGCUAGUUGAAUAAGCUGGCACCUUGACGGUACCUAACCAGAAAGCCACGGCUAACUACGUGCCAGCAGCCGCCGUAA
rnacentral:rRNA from 1 species